UAUGGUGUGGGGUGAUGGAAAGUGUUGAGAUUUGGGAUCUGCUUUGAUGUUAGAGCUGGCAGGAAUCACUGAUAGACUGGAUAUGGAGCGAGAGGGAGAGAGGUGGGUCAAGAUGACCAUUUUAACCUGAGAUUCUGGAUGCCAUGAGCUACAAUGGAAAGCACUGGGCAAGGAGCAGGUUUUCUUGUAACAGGACUCAGGGAAGGCAAGAAUUCUGCUUCGUCUAUGUUAAGUCCGAGAGAGGUAAAAGAUGUCCAAGAGGCAAUGUCCAAUGAAAAGUUAGAUAAUCUAAGCUGAGAGUUCUGAGGACACGUGGGGCAGAGGGUAUAAAUAUUUCAACUCAGGUAUGGCCUUCAAGCCAUGGGGCUGGAUGAGAUCACCAAAGGAGUGACAAUAAAAGGUAGUGAGGAGGGGACCCUGGGAGAAGAGAAGAGCCCAGGGACCCUCCAACAUCCAGAGGUCAGGGUGAAAUUGAGAUGGAGGUCCAAAGACUUGAUAGAAAAUGCAGAAAAGGGGGGAAGGUCCCAGAUGCCUAGGGUCUUCUUGAAGUGUGUGUGCCAGGUGUUGCUAGUGGUGCCGGUAAGAAGGCUAAACAUUGGCCACUAUUGGGUGUGGGACCUGGAACGGGUAAGGACCCUAGGAGGAGUUGUUUCUGUUCAGUGAAGGUUUGGAAGCCCGGCCACAGAGUAUGACAAAGACAAUGCCUCAUGUUGGACUGAAGGUGGCAAAUAAGGACAGUUUUGUCGAGGAGGUUUGUGCUGGGGGAGUGAGAGGUGAGGGACAUCUUUGGAGGGGGGUGUGAGUGCUGAGGUGGUGGGAGGUAUUACACCCAGUCUGUAGGCUUCAGGAAGGAUCUUGUUCAGAAGAAAAUGAUGUUCACGAGGAAGAGAGUGGGGAGAACUGUGUCAGCAAAAUCCCUGAGCAGGAAGGAAGCAUGGGAUCCAUGAGUAUAGACAGAGGUGUUGUCUCCAGUCCAAUGAUCAGGGGAAUUUGAGAUGUGUGGCCUGAAAGUCACAGUGAGACUAAUCAUCCUUGCCUGUGUCUUCCUUCCUGGCCUCCGGGAGCU
rnacentral:lncRNA from 1 species